rnacentral:tRNA from 1 species
UGCUGGUUAGCUCAGUUGGUAGAACGCUCCACCUGUAAUGGAGAGGUCCCGGGUUCGAUACCCGGAUUAGUCG